UACGGGGGGGGCAAGCGUUGUUCGGAAUUACUGGGCGUAAAGGGCUCGUAGGUGGCCAACUAAGUCAGACGUGAAAUCCCUCGGCUUAACCGGGGAACUGCGUCUGAUACUGGAUGGCUUGAGUUCGGGAGAGGGAUGCAGAAUUCCAGGUGUAGCGGUGAAAUGCGCAGAUAUCAGGAGGAACACCCGUAGCGAAGGCGGCACUCUGGGCCGGAACUGACGCUGAGGAGCGAAAGCGUGGGGAGCGAACAGG
rnacentral:rRNA from 1 species